UGGGGAAUUUUGGACAAUGGGCGAAAGCCUGAUCCAGCCAUGCCGCGUGAGUGAAGAAGGCCUUCGGGUUGUAAAGCUCUUUUAGUCGGAAAGAAAGAGUUGCAAUGAAUAAUUGUGAUUUAUGACGGUACCGACAGAAAAAGCACCGGCUAACUACGUGCCAGCAGCCGCAGUAAUACGUAGGGUGCGAGCGUUAAUCGGAAUUACUGGGCGUAAAGGGUGCGCAGGCGGUCUUGCAAGUCAGAUGUGAAAGCCCCGGGCUUAACCUGGGAAUUGCGUUUGAAACUACAAGGCUAGAGUGCAGCAGAGGGGAGUGGAAUUCCAUGUGUAGCAGUGAAAUGCGUAGAGAUGUGGAAGAACACCGAUGGCGAAGGCAGCUCCCUGGGUUGACACUGACGCUCAUGCACGAAAGCGUGGGGAGCAAACA
rnacentral:rRNA from 1 species